rnacentral:rRNA from 1 species
AGCAGCCGCGGUAAUUCCAGCUCCAAUAGCGUAUAUUAAAGUUGUUGCAGUUAAAAAGCUCGUAGUUGAAUUUCGGAAUCUGUCCGUUGGUCGGGCUUAACUGUCCGUACUGAUGUGAUGGGUUCUUACCUUCUGAAUAACCAUCAUGCCAUUAAUUUGGUGUGUUGGGGAAGCAGGACUAUUACCUUGAAAAAUUAGAGUGCUCAAAGCAGGCUAGCGCCUGAAUACAUUAGCAUGGAAUAAUAAAAUAGGACGGCAUGGUUCUAUUUUGUUGGUUUCUAGGAUCACCGUAAUGAUUAAUAGGGAUAGUUGGGGGCAUUAGUAUUCAAUUGUCAGAGGUGAAAUUCUUGGAUUUAUUGAAGACUAACUUCUGCGAAAGCAUUUGCCAAGGAUGUUUUCAUUAAUCAAGAACGAAAGUUAGGGGAUCGAAGACGAUCAGAUACCGUCGUAGUCUUAACCAUAAACUAUGCCGACUAGGGAUCGGACGAUGUUAAUUUUAUAAUGACUCGUUC